AGAAAAUAGAUACCCUGGUAGUCCUGGCCCUAAACGAUGUCCACUAGGUCGUGGCGGCGUUUGACCGCCGUCGCGGCCGAAAGCAAAAAAAGUGCUAAGUGGACCGCCAGGGAAGUACGGUCGCAAGGCUAAAACUCAAAGGAAUUGACGGGGGCUCACACAAGCGGUGGAGCAUGUGGUUUAAAUUCGAAGCAACGCGCAGAACCUUACCUGGGCUUGACAUGCUAGGAUUAUCCCGGUGAAAGCCGGGUAGGCCCUUCGGGGUACAACUAGUACAGGUGCUGCAUGGCUGUCGUCAGCUCGUGUCGUGAGAUGUCGGGUUAAGUCCCUUAACGAGCGAAACCUUUGCCCUUAGUUGCCAUCGGGUAAUGCCGGGGACUCUAAGGGGACUGCCGGUGUCAAACCGGAGGAAGGUGGAGAUGACGUCAAGUCCUCAUGGCCUUUAUGCCCAGGGCCACACACGUGCUACAAUGGCGGCGACAGAGCGACCCGAAGGCGCGAGCCGGUGGAAAUCGCACAAACGCCGCCCAGUUCAGAUCGGAGGCUGCAACCCGCCUCCGU
rnacentral:rRNA from 1 species